CGGGUGAGUAACGCGUGGGUAACCUACCUUAUACAGGGGAUAACAGUCAGAAAUGGCUGCUAAUACCGCAUAAGCGCACAGAGCUGCAUGGCUCAGUGUGAAAAACUCCGGUGGUAUAAGAUGGACCCGCGUUGGAUUAGCUGGUUGGUGGGGUAACGGCCCACCAAGGCGACGAUCCAUAGCCGGCCUGAGAGGGUGAACGGCCACAUUGGGACUGAGACACGGCCCAG
rnacentral:rRNA from 1 species